rnacentral:tRNA from 1 species
GGGGCUUUAGCUCAUCAGGAUAGAGCACUGGUUUCCUAAACCGGGUGGGCAGGUUCGAGUCCUGUAAGCCCCAAAA